GAAAGACAGACAACGGUAGAAAACGGAGCUGCUUAACUGGUUUUAAGUUCAGUACAAACUGUUAUAUUACUGCUGUUUAUCAAGUCACGAUCGGGGGUUUUAUAUCGGGUUGUAACCACGUUAAAACGAGAGAGUGAGUUGUGUUUUGGAGCUGUUUUCGGCCGUUAGCUUCACUAAACGCCGCUAAUGCUAGUCGGCCAUCACCCGUGCUAAUUUGGAGGAGAAGAGACUGCCUGUGUGUGUAGGAGCCAUUUUGUUUUUGAAUUCUACUAGAAGAUCUACACAAGAGAUCUACAAAGAAGGGAUGUUGCUUGGCAGGAGAAAAACAUCGAGAACUUCAAGCCCACUAUCCGGUGGUCGG